rnacentral:rRNA from 1 species
GAUGAACGCUAGCGACAGGCUUAACACAUGCAAGUCGAGGGGCAGCAUAGAAGUAGCAAUACUUUGGUGGCGACCGGCGCACGGGUGAGUAACGCGUAUGCAACCUACCUAUCAGAGGGGAAUAACCCAGCGAAAGUCGGACUAAUACCGCAUAAAACAGGGGCACCGCAUGGUGAUAUUUGUUAAAGAAAUUCGCUGAUAGAUGGGCAUGCGUUCCAUUAGGUAGUUGGUGAGGUAACGGCUCACCAAGCCGACGAUGGAUAGGGGAACUGAGAGGUUGGUCCCCCACACUGGUACUGAGCCACGGACCAGACUCCUACGGGAGGCAGCAGUGAGGAAUAUUGGUCAAUGGGCGGGAGCCUGAACCAGCCAAGUCGCGUGAAGGAAGAAGGAUCUAUGGUUCGUAAGCUUCUUUUGCAGGGGAAUAAAGUGCGGGACGUGUCCUGUUUUGUAUGUACCCUGAGAAUAAGGAUCGGCUAACUCCGUGCCAGCAGCCGCCGUAACAC